GACCCAGUAGUGAAUGGAUCAUGCCUGCUUUCUUUGUACAUGGCAGGCAGGAUGUCAGCAGGAGCCUCGGUUCGAUUCCGGGCUGGGUCA